AUUGAACGCUGGCGGCAGGCCUAACACAUGCAAGUCGAACGAGUGGCGGACGGGUGAGUAAUGUCUGGGAAACUGCCCGAUGGAGGGGGAUAACUACUGGAAACGGUAGCUAAUACCGCAUACCAUCGGAUGUGCCCAGAUGGGAUUAGCUAGUAGGUGGGGUAACGGCUCACCUAGGCGACGAUCCCUAGCUGGUCUGAGAGGAAGACCGACCACACUUGAACUGAGACACGGUCCAGACUCCUACGGGAAGCAGCAGUGGGGAAUAUUGCACAAUGGAGGCAAGCCUGAUGCAGCCAUGCCGCGUGUAUGAAGAAGGCGUUCGGAUUAUAAGGUACAUUCAACGAGGGGGCGUUACUCGCAGAAGAAGCACCGGCUGACUCCGUACCAGCAGCCGCGGUAAUUC
rnacentral:rRNA from 1 species